UGAUCAUAAAUAAGAAUACAGUAGGAUUGUUGUGGUGAAAUCUGAGGACUAACCUGGGGUAAUGUCCAGAGGCUGCCCCAGGGUUGAUUUGCAGGGACACAGGUUUUCUGUCAUGUUGUAUAUCAUAUAAGUUGGCUUGGGAUAUUGACAAAGACCAAAAAUGAUUAAGGCUUCUCCUGGUCCUCUUUCUUGCUUCUACUAUACAGACAUGGAUGUUUAGGGAAGAAAGAUUUUACUACUCAGUCGGUCCUCUUGAAAGCAAGAAUAUCUUGGUGGAAUUUGAGGCCAGAUAUCAAAUCCUUCAAUGUGCUAGUUUGCAUUUUAACCUCUGAGUUGCCUGCUGGGAUGUGGCUGUGCAGGAAUCGUCUCACAUCAGCUAACUGGUGGCUUUGUCUUUCCCCAGUGCCAGAGUAGGCUGCUUUUCCACACCAUUAAAGAGCUAUACAGGAACCCACAGAGGAGGAACUCAGGCUAGACAAGG
rnacentral:sRNA from 1 species